rnacentral:rRNA from 1 species
CCUACGGGGGGCUGCAGUGGGGAAUAUUGGGCAAUGGGCGAAAGCCUGACCCAGCAACGCCGCGUGAGGGAAGAAGGUUCUCGGAUUGUAAACCUCUGUCCUUGGUGACGAAAAAAAUGACGGUAGCCAAGGAGGAAGCCCCGGCUAACUACGUGCCAGCAGCCGCGGUAAUACGUAGGGGGCAAGCGUUGUCCGGAAUGACUGGGCGUAAAGGGCGUGUAGGCGGCCGAUUAAGUCUGGAGUGAAAGUCCUGCUUUCAAGGUGGGAAUUGCUUUGGAGACUGGUUGGCUUGAGUGCGGAAGAGGCAAGUGGAAUUCCCAGUGUAGCGGUGAAAUGCGUAGAGAUUGGGAGGAACACCAGUGGCGAAGGCGACUUGCUGGGCCGUAACUGACGCUGAGGCGCGAAAGCGUGGGGAGCGAACAGGAUUAGAUACCCCGGUAGUC